ensembl:lncRNA LEF1-AS1 LEF1 antisense RNA 1
AAUUGCUAGGGGCUGGCUGGAUUGCUGUUGGUUUUUCCCCUCCUGGUGGCUUUGCUUGGUUUGGGUUUAGUUUGGGAACAAACUUGUUUUAUAUCAACACUUCCUUCUACAUCGGGCGCCGUCGCCUCAACUGCGCGUGGGGGGCGAGGCGCCCACCCCGCACAAGAACAGAGGAGCGGGGGAGAAGAGACGGCCUCGCUGCUCACUGGGCCCCUUUGUGUGACUAAAUUUGGCAAGAAUAUGGAUCUGAGCCAGUCUUUCCACGUGUGCUCCCAGCUCCCAGCUGAGAAGGCCAAGGGUUCUCUUCCGGGUAAGGAGACAGGGAGAAAGAUCAAAGAGUUUGGGGAGCUGGAUCUGAAAUGUGAAUUGAAAAUAAAAAUCAAGCCUGGACACAUUCCAGUUUCUAAAGCAAAACCAACCCUCAGCAGAGGCCGGCUCUCUAUAUAGCUCUCUUUCUUUCUCUCUCUGCUCCCUUUGACUCUUUUCUGUGACCAUUCUUGAGCACAUGGUAUAAAAUAAAGAGAACAUAGGGAAACAGUUUCUCUAUAUUUCGUUUUGG